AUUAAAUUGGUUUCAGAAAACAGCAACACCAACUUCAGCCAUGGAAAAAUAGUGUAACAUGAAUUUGUGGUGGUGAUGAAGGAUUGUUCAUCAGUAACCAGUCAGCAAGCCACACUACAGGGUCAGCAGGUUUCACUUUACAUAGCUGGGCCAACCCUUCCAGUAAAGUAGGAUUCACACUUUCAGCUAAGUAAUCUGUCACUGCUUCUCCAGUCAGCAGAGGUUCCAGAAUCACUGAAAUGAAAUAUAUGUCACAUAGAUGGCCCUGGGAGAACUUGGUUCAGGAAAGUGACGUCCAAGCUGCACAGGCAAAAGUUGAAGUAAGAAGGGUAAAGAAACUAAGUUGACAAUGUGAUGAGAUGGAAACUGCUUGCUGGAGGUUUGAUCAGAGACUAACAGUGAGAUGUUAUCUUCAUCGCCACAUGAGGCCUAGCCUCAUUUGCAGAGGUUAUGCAUCAUCACUUGAAGUAGAACAGUAACUGAUAAAAUGCUUCAACUUUCAUAUAAUAUAGUUUUAUAUUUCCAUACCACAUUUCAUCAUU